UAAUACAUUUAAGAAUAAUACAUAAGGUAACAACUCAUGAUUUUUAUAUAUUAAAGACAAAUGAGGCGAUGAGUAAAUUUAGAAUUUGAAAUUUGAAUAUAAUAUUGAUAUGGGUAUUCUGUUAUUGUCGAUUUUUUUAUCUUUCUGUUUUUUGUUAUUGUUUAUUAUUUUGUGUUAUUAUCACUACCCGCCCGAAAAGUAGUCACCUAGCGUCUAGCUUUGGUCACCCAACUUCAGUCACGUCGGAAUUAUUGUUUUUAAAUUUUUAUCAUAGUAUCUAAAAGCGUUUUACACCACACGUCCACACAACACUGACUGGCGACUGUAUCAGUGGCCAGUGCAUAUUUUUAUGUUCCAUCAGCAAGAAUAAUGUGCACUGAGUGGACUUUUUUUUGUUUCACCUCAAUGUACUACGCCAGUUUUUUACACUGAAUGCAAUGAUAAGUACUAUAAGGGUACAUACGCACUAUGCGGUUGCCCGCAAUGCGGCCAGCCGUCCGGUUGACCGCAAGUGAUAAACUAUAAGCAAAUACUGUACAUCCGAAAAAUUGUAUUCGCACUACGUUGCGGUUACCCGCAAACCGUUCCGGUCGUUUGAAAUGUUUGAAUCGUUGCGGCCGCUUCGACGGCUGACCGCACGUUCUGCGUACGCAAUGUGCGCCGUGUGGUUAGUCUGCGGUAAACCGUCAUCGGCGUAGAAAUCCAGAACCGGCAAUCUCUUUGGAACACGAAGUGCUCAGAUUAUUCUGACAGAAAUAAAAAACAAAGAGAUUGGGAAGAGGUGGUGAAUAUUUACGGCGGUGAAUUAUCAGCGGAC